GUAGCCUGACAUGCCCGUCCUGUGGUCCCCUCGUGCCACAUCAUCUCCGACCCUAGCCUUCCUCCCUGCAGGGCACCAUCCGCCCAGGAGAAGCAGCUCCGUCCGCCACGCCGAGGAGCAGUAGCGCCGUCAACCGCCACCAAGGAUCCACUGCUGAUUUUUCUCCAUGUGCGACCUCUACUUCGGCUGAUCUCCUUUCCUCUGCCCCGCCUACAGAAUACAAGAGGUAAGCUUCUGGUGGGUGAGUGGUUCCUUGUCGCCCCUUCUCUGCCCACCUCCAGAUCUGGUCGUUAUAGGUAAGCUGGGUUAGUGGUUUUUCCAGUACGUGUAGGUAACUAAUCGGAUCCAGCCAUGAAUUGGUUGGCUUCUUCCAGUAGGUAAAUAAAUCUAUGGUUGUUCUAGUGCGUGCUUCAUCUACAAAUUUGCAGCAUGUAACAAUUUCUUAGCCGAGGCAUUACAAAGGAGAGGGAUGCGUGUCAUUCUUCUGUUAGAAUUGUAAUUACGUUCCCCUUUGUGAUUGGCAUAUUUUAUUUUUCAAUUUCUCCUUUUCUUAUUGCGCAGAUGCUAGCUUUCAUAGCCUCUUGUAGCUAAAUCUGAUUAUGUGUGCGCCUAUCAAGUCCCAAAUGUGAUCUGUAUGUCCUAAUUACGUACACAUCUAGUGAUGCAUCUAUUGAAGAGAAGCAUUUGUCAGUAACAUACUAACAAUCAGUCAAUCUUCAUACGUAGGUGGUGAAGGCAAGUAAAGAAUUUAUGCCCGUUCUGUUACAGGAACAUGUGAAUAGGUGAUAGUCCUCCUAAGCUGCUUAAUGCUACAAUUUCUAAUGUCAUUAUAAACAUUGGAUGCAUCAGACUGUCAUAAUACCUAGUUUUUCUAUAAAAAUGGUAAUAAAUAAGGGCAUAAUAUGAUGAUAAUAAAUCUGGGUUAUGGAAGAAAAUUGUAUAUUUGGUUUCUACAUUUGUAUAUGUAUAGCAGCACCCUGAUUAUGCAAAUAGUAUCAUAUCCAGAGUAUUAAUCAUUGCAGCUAGUAGAAAAUGUACGGUUUAGUUUGUAGCCACAUACAUGUGAAUAUUAUUCCAGCAAGAAUGCGAGAUGCUAGCAUAUAUCUAUCUAUCCCUGGUACUUUGCGGAUAGGCCAGCGGCGAGCCUUGUUUUUUCUUUUUAGUUUUUCCCUUGAUGUAUUCUCCUUGUUGAACGAACAGUUUUUGGCAUCCUGGCAUGCCACCAUUGUGCUGGUUGGAUCUUGGUUACCAAUUAAUAUUCAGGGGAUGUCUCUCUUUUAAUUUAUUGAUUUCCUUGUUGCGAGGAGAGGGUUGCUGAUGCCGAUGAUUUAUAGUUUGGAUGAUGAUGAUGGUGACUAGCCACUGAUGCUCGAGGAUGAAGCAGGAUGAACCGAGGUCCUCGAAGCCUAUCCCUGAUGCUGAUGGGUGGACCAUUGUGCCGCCUAGGUGUGAUCAGUCUGGGCAAUAGUAAAUUAAGCAUAUGAGAAGCAAAACUUGGUGCUAUAUGGUCUGAAGGUAGAGUUGGAACCCCUCCGGUUCAGCACCGGGCAUGGUCGGUUGGAAUUGGAUAAGGACCACAAACCCACCAAGUCGCCCUUUUGAUCAACUACAACAAUAAUAACAACAACAACAAACAAUGUGGAAUUGUUCAUCGAAUCUACCAAUUUGGUCCAGGAUAAAUAAAUACUAAACCAUCGUCAAGUUGUUGCUCGAUUGAAACUAAACUAGAUGAAAUUAAUGGAGGGUUUUAGAAAUAAGUUGUUGUUUUGUACCUUAUAAUCUUCAGUAGGCACCCGACUCCAUGGAUGAGGAGGACAACUAAGACCCCAAGCCCAAGACGACGACCCUGACCUCAACUCCCCAAACAAGGUUGUGGAUCAGCGCCUCUUGACUGGACAAAUGGUAGACAGUAGCAAGUCCACAAGUUGACUGAAGAUGUUCUCGUGACUGUUUUGUUGAGAACUGGGUUGACACAUUUUGUUCAUAUGGAAGUUGAUUCGGCUUGGCGAUUGAAGAGUUGGUCUUCCGUAUUAUUCUGUAGCAAUCCAGUGAUCAUGCAAUUGGUCUCUUAGGAACUUUGGCCAUUUUUUUGUAACAUGCCUCUCUUGUAUAUCUGAUUUGUGGAUCCUUAAAGGUUGUAGCUACUUGAGUGAAGUAAAACAAUGAAUGUUCUAUAUAUGUUGAAUGAAUGCAUUUGAUCAAUAGUA